GCACGCGGGCCAGGUUGUGGAGACAGCGGAGGUCAAUGCUCUCGUAGAGGCUUGUACGUUUGACCUUUGCAUGCUGUACAGUAACACUGACGGUAACAUGACGGCCAUUGAAGAGUACAUGGACACAGUCAUCGCUGAUGUUGUUGUAAGGAUUAUCGAGAUUGAAGCCGUGUUGACAGAUGUUGAAAGCUUCACGACUAUUGCGCCUCCUAACACGACGAUAGCCCGAGGCCGUCCAAAGAGGAGGCGCACAUACCUCAAGAUUGAACAAAAGGUCUAUCUUUAAGAACCAAGAGCAUCCUGAAGCUCGCGAAUGACUUAACCCGGUGAUGGCUACAAGGAGAGAAACUAAUACGAGGACCAGCUGUUUGGAUCAACUGAUCUGGAACGAUCAGCUGAUUUUAACUGAAUUCCCGGAUAUCUACAAUAAAUUUUUUCUCAAUUUUUUGUUUAUUUUUAUUCAGAUCAGAGAUUCUCCAACAUGGGUCAAAUGCCAUGAUCCAGUUCUCAGAAUUCUCGUUAUUGAUAUAUUGAUUGACUAGAGAUUUUUUAAAAAAGAUUAUUAGAGGGAAAUACUACGAACACUAAUGAAUGGUGUCAGUUAUUACAUUUCACAAGGUCAUCUUGUAACGGUGAAUCAAAUAAAAUACGAAUAAAAUUA